UUUUUUCUCUCCUCACUUUUGAACUAGAUUUGGGCAAUGGAGGUGAUGACAGCAUUUUAGAAGACAGAACAGGAAUUCUAGGUGUUUAGGCACGUUGAAGAGAAACUUGCUAGAGGUGAUGAAGUGGAAAGAAAAAGACGAUUCACUAUAGGGAUGAACAUUAUUGCAGUUCUGCAAAGGAUAUUUUCUUUUAAAACAUCCAUAUCUCUUCUUUGCCGUGGAAACUAGACCCAAUCUACCUGAACCUGCGGCACCCCUCUGAUGACCCAUUUGGAUUCUCUGAUUUCACUGCCAAAAUUCUCAAUGGAGUUUCACUCUGUCGCCCAGGCUGGAGUGCAGUGGCACGAUCUCGGCUCACUGCAAGCUCCGCCUCCCGGGUUCACGCCAUUCUUCUGCCUCAGCCUCCUGAGUAGCUGGGACUACAGGUUCUCCAAAAUACUUAUCAUUCAGGUUGAAUAAACCAGUUCUACGGACUGCUUCUUCCGUGCAUUUCCCAAUGAUGCUAACUGCCCUUAAAAUUCUUUCAGAUUUGGAACUCUAUCUGUAUGGAAACAACAG
rnacentral:sRNA from 1 species